UACGUAGGUGGCAAGCGUUGUCCGGAUUUAUUGGGUUUAAAGGGUGCGUAGGCGGUCUAUUAAGUCAGUUGUGAAAUACGGCAGCUCAACUGUCGAGGUGCAAUUGAUACUGAUGGACUUGAGUACUGAUGAGGUAAGCGGAAUGGACGGUGUAGCGGUGAAAUGCUUAGAUAUCGUCCAGAACACCGAUAGCGAAGGCAGCUUACUAAGGAGUAACUGACGCUGAGGCACGAAGGUGUGGGGAUCAAACAGG
rnacentral:rRNA from 1 species